rnacentral:rRNA from 1 species
GCCGUAAACAAUUAACUCACAUCCACACCGCCAGGGAAUUACGAGCAAUGCUUAAAACCCAAAGGAUUUGACGGUGUCCCACCCCACUAGAGGAGCCUGUUCUAUAAUCGAUGAUCCCCGCUUCACCUAACCAUCCCUCGCCUACCAGUCUGUAUACCUCCGUCGAAAGCUUACCAUGUGAACGCCCGCAGUAAGCUUAAUGAUUUCACCAUCAACACGUCAGGUCAAGGUGCAGCUUAAGGGACGGAAAGUAAUGGGCUACAAUUUCUAAUCUAGAACAAACGAAAGACUAUGUGAAACCCUAGUCAUGAAGGUGGAUUUAGUAGUAAAAAAAAAAUAUAGUGUUCUUUUUAACCCGGCUCUGGGACGCGUACACACCGCCCGUCACCCUCUUCAAUAGUACCCCGUAUGUUCCUAACCCAACACCACGUUUUAGAAGAAGCAAGUCGUAACAUGGUGAGUGUACUGGAAAGUGCACUUGGUAUACU